UGAUGGUGAUGAUGAUGACCAUGGUCGCCAUGAUCAUGGUCGUGAUGAUCGUGGUCGUGAUGAUCGUGGUCAUCAUGGUGA
rnacentral:misc_RNA from 1 species